AUUGAACGCUGGCGGCAGGCUUAACACAUGCAAGUCGAGCGGGGUGAUGGUGCUUGCACUAUCACUUAGCGGCGGACGGGUGAGUAAUGCUUAGGAAUCUGCCUAUUAGUGGGGGACAACAUCUCGAAAGGGAUGCUAAUACCGCAUACGUCCUACGGGAGAAAGCAGGGGAUCACUUGUGACCUUGCGCUAAUAGAUGAGCCUAAGGCGGAUUAGCUAGUUGGUGGGGUAAAGGCCUACCAAGGCGACGAGCUGUAGCGGGUCUGAGAGGAUGAUACGCCACACUGGGACUGAGACACGGCCCAGACUCCUACGGGAGGCAGCAGUGGGGAAUAUUGGACAAUGGGGGGAAACCUGAUCCAGCCAUGCCGCGUGUGUGAAGAAGGCCUUAUGGUUGUAAAGCACUUUAAGCGAGGAGGAGGCUCUUUUGGUUAAUACCCAAGAUGAGUGGACGUUACUCGCAGAAUAAGCACCGGCUAACUCUGUGCCAGCCGCCGCCGUAA
rnacentral:rRNA from 1 species